rnacentral:rRNA from 1 species
CGCGUAGGCGGCCCGCUAAGUCGAACGUGAAAUCCCCGGGCUCGACCCGGGAACUGCGUCCGAUACUGGCAGGCUUGAAUCCGGGAGAGGGAUGUGGAAUUCCAGGUGUAGCGGUGAAAUGCGUAGAUAUCUGGAGGAACACCGGUGGCGAAGGCGGCAUCCUGGACCGGUAUUGACGCUGAGGCGCGAAAGCCAGGGGAGCAAACG